UACGUAGGGUGCGAGCGUUAAUCGGAAUUACUGGGCGUAAAGCGUGCGCAGGCGGUUCGCUGUGUCCGAUGUGAAAGCCCCGGGCUUAACCUGGGAAUGGCAUUGGAAACUGGCGGGCUUGAGUGUGGCAGAGGGGGUGGAAUUCCGGCGUGUAGCAGUGAAAUGCGUAGAGAUGCGGAGGAACACCGAUGGCGAAGGCAGCCCCCUGGGCUAACACUGACGCUCAGGCACGAAAGCGUGGGGAGCAAACAGG
rnacentral:rRNA from 1 species